GGGUAUAGAUAGCCCCUACUGAAUUCAAGAUUUAAAAAAUAUUUUCCAGAGUUAUUGACAUAUAAUUGACAUAUCGCAUUGUAUACAUUUUAUAUAAUUUUUACUUGUUUAUUUGUCUGACUGUGCUGAGUCGUCUUAGCUGCGUGUGCUCUCUGCUCUCGUUGCAGAAGGUGGGGGCUCCUCUCUGGUUGCGGUGCGCGGGCUUCUCGCCGCAGCGGCUUCCUUUGUUGCGGAGCACCGGCUCUGGGCGCUCGGGCUCCCGCAGUUGCGGCUCCCGGGCUCUAGAGCGCAGGCUCAGUAGUUGUGGCGCCCGGGCUUCGCCGCCGCUCAGCGUGUGGGUUCUUCCCAGACCCGGGAUAGACCCCCGUGUCUCCUCCAUUGGCAUGCGUGCUUCAUCGCUCAGUCCUGUCCAACCCUUCGAGACCCUUUGGACCCCAGCCCGCCAGGCUCCUCUGUCCAUGAGAUUCUUCAGGCAAGAGUACUGGAGCAAGUUGCCAUUUCCUCAUCCAGGGCAUCUUCCCAGGCUGAGGAUUGAACCCCUGUCUCCUGCGUCUCCUGUAUCGACAGGCGGAUCCGUUACCGCUGCGCUAGCUGGGAAGCCCAGUUUUUAUGCCAGUACCAUGCUGUGUGACUGCUAUAGAUUUACUGUCAAGUUUUAAAUCAAGCACUUCAGCCUCGAGUGCUUGCUCAUCCCUAAUCUCAUCUGAUCCCUAUAACGGCCCAUGAGCUCAUCGAGAACACCCGCCGCCCUCUGACCCGAUGAAAGGGAGGUAAGCGCUCACACGGGCGCACUGAGAGAAAGAGACACAGAAAGGAGACAGGAGGACCCAGAUCUCAGCGGAAAGGCUCAGGAUUAAGUUCGUUCUCCCUGACUUUUCAUCUGCAUCCUUUUAUCGUCCAUCUGUCUGACAUGCGGUCCUGGUCCGAGGUUGCAGGAGGUGGAUGGAGAGUGUUCAUACAGGGCGGGGGGGCUUGGCAGGGGUGGGGUCAGGACUCUGAGCAGCGACAGAGAACACAUCUGGCCAGAUGUGUAAGGAAGACGCCACCGGCUGGCCGAGGACCGUGACCACGCAGUUGGCCACCAUCUCUCCCACGCCUGUGAACCACCCUGCUUCUUUAUUCCUCAUCCCAUAAACCCCCCAGCCCCUUGCCAUGGGGAAGGGAGGCUUGACAUUUGUUUUCCAUCUCCUCGCUUGGCUGCCUUGCCAAUAACCCCGCUCUAUGCUGCGGACCUGGGUGUCUCAGCGGUUUGACCUGCUGUGAGUGGGCAAAACAAACCCGGCUCGGUAACACUGACACCUGUUUCAGCACGGACGGACCUUGAGGACACUCUGCUAAGUGAACUGUCAGUCACGAGAAGACAAAUCCAUGUGAUUCUGUUACAGGAUAGAGUCUUGUAGAGAAGAAGGCUGGUGCCGGCUGCACAAUACCAUGAAUGCGCUUAACUCCACUGACCCUUAUGCUUAGAAUCGGUUAAGACGUGUUUUACCACAAUUGUUAAAGUUUUUAAGUGGGGUGAAGUCACGGAGUGGAUGCAAGCCCUCUGGCCUCAGCCUCCCUCUUCUCCCACUUUGGGCUUUGCAGUUUGACCCGAAUUCCUAACCCACUGGUGAUACUCUGCAGGUCUACACCUGGGGAGGUUUGCCAAUUCUGCUUCCCCUCCCUGGGGUUCUUUCCCUGCUUUUUCCCAUCUUUUGACCGAACCCACUCAAAUGCUGUGAGAUGGUUGGAUGGCAUCAUGGACUCAAUGGACGUUGAGUUUGAGCAAACUCUGGGAGGUGGUGAAAGACAGGGGAGCCUGGCAGGCUGCGGUCCAUGGGGUGGCAAUGAGCCAGACAUGACUCAGCAGUGGAGCAGCGACAGCUCCGAGGGUUGCAGGUGUCUCUCUGGGCCCCCUCUUCAUCAUGCCUGGAUCUCUACAGCCGCCCUCUCCAUGAUGUGUUGGCCACAUGUUUGCCUGUCUACACGUGUCUCCCCAGUAGACGUGGGCUGCGUGGGGCAGGGUGCCUGAAGGAAAACCUCUCGCCUGGUGCCCGCUUCAUCCUGGAACAGCUAAGAUGGUGUUAAUUCCACGGUAGCAGCAGUUUCCUUGACCACCCCGUGUAAGACUCACAGCCACAAACGGAGGUGAAUUCAAAAAAGAUACUGCUGUGAUUUAUGUCAAAGAGUGUUCUGCCUAUGUUCUCCUCUGAUAAGAGUUUUAUAGUAUCCGGUCUUACGUUCAGGUCAUCAAUCCAUUCUGCGUUCAUUUUUGUGUGUGGUGUUGGAGAAUGUUCUAGUUUCAUUCCUUCACAUGUAGCUGUCCAGUUUUUCCAUGUGCUGCAUCUUGAAUGACAACCCAGCAGGACUGAGUUGUCCAUAUCCUGCACUUUCCGAGGAAAGGGCUGAUCUCGACCAGCUCCAGGGAGAUAACCUUGAAGGUCAAGGUAUUUCCGGCCUGAUAAGAGUUCCGUGGGGGCUGUGGGCCACACCAGAUUGUUAAUGCCGACAGUGUGGCUCAUGAAAGCGGUCUUGGGCCGAACCACACCUGUUUGACCUCUAGAGGGGCUGAAGACUGAACAACUAAGGUCAGCCACACGGACAGUCCAUCCUUAUGCGCCUGACCCCCAGCAGCACGCCUGGAAGGCAAGGCCCGGGCGGGCUCCCCGGCUGACACCAAGUCAUGUGCGUCAUCGCACAUCAUUAUCAGGAGAACUAAGAAUCGUCCGUUCCGUUCCACCGGGAAAAGACAGUGGGAAGCCUGCUCACGGACUCUGUCCCACAAUUCUCUUACCUUUGCUAUUUUCAUCGAUAUCCUCUUGCUAUAAUAAACCAUAAUUG
ensembl:lncRNA